ACUCAAAGGAAUAGACGGGGGCCCGCACAAGCGGUGGAUUAUGUGGUUUAAUUCGAAGCAACGCGCAAAACCUUACCUGGGCUUGAACUCCCACGAAGUCGGUAGAGAUAUCGAUGUGCCCGCAAGGGAAUGUGGUGAGAGGCGCUGCAUGGCUGUCGUCAGCUCGUGUUGUGAAAUGUUGGGUUAAGUCUCGCAACGAGCGCAACCCCUAUCCUUAGUUGCCAGCAUUAAGUUGGGCACUCUAGGGAGACUGCCUGGGUUAACCAGGAGGAAGGUGGGGAUGACGUCAAGUCCUCAUGGCCCUUAUGUCCAGGGCUACACACGUAAUACAAUGGUUGGUACAGAGGGAUGCGAACUCGCGAGGGGGAGCAAAUCUCAAAAAGCCAAUCUCAGUCCGGAUUGAAGUCUGCAACUCGACUUCAUGAAGUUGGAAUCGCUAGUAAUCGCGGAUCAGCAUGCCGCGGUGAAUACGUUCCCGGGCCUUGUACACACCGCCCGU
rnacentral:rRNA from 1 species